rnacentral:rRNA from 1 species
CUCUAAAGAAACUGCCCGUGAUAAGCGGGAGGAAGGUGUGGAUGACGUCAAGUCCUCAUGGCCCUUACGGGUUGGGCUACACACGUGCUACAAUGGCAUCUACAGUGAGUUAAUCUCCAAAAGAUGUCUCAGUUCGGAUUGGGGUCUGCAACUCGACCCCAUGAAGUCGGAAUCGCUAGUAAUCGCGUAACAGCAUGACGCGGUGAAUACGUUCCCGGGCCUU